UACGGAGGAUGCGAGCGUUAUCCGGAUUUACUGGGUGUAAAGGGCGUGUAGGCGGGAUGGCAAGUCAGGCGUGAAAACUAUGGGCUCAACCCAUAGCCUGCGUUUGAAACUGUCGUUCUUGAGUGAUGGAGAGGCAAGCGGAAUUCCGUGUGUAGCGGUGAAAUGCGUAGAUAUACGGAGGAACACCAGUGGCGAAGGCGGCCUGCUGGACAAUAACUGACGCUGAGGCGCGAAAGCGUGGGGAGCAAAUAGG
rnacentral:rRNA from 1 species